rnacentral:rRNA from 1 species
CACGUAGGGCGCGAGCGUUGUCCGGAAUUAUUGGGCGUAAAGAGCUCGUAGGCGGCCUGUUGCGUCCGCUGUCGAAAGCCCGGGGCUUAACCCCGGGUCGGCAGUGGAUACGGGCAGGCUAGAGGUAGGUAGGGGAGAAUGGAAUUCCCGGUGUAGCGGUGAAAUGCGUAGAUAUCGAGGAGACGAGCCGAGUGGUCGAG